rnacentral:misc_RNA from 1 species
GAUGAAGAACGCAGCAAAAUGCGAUAAGUAAUGUGAAUUGCAGAAUUCAGUGAAUCAUCGAAUCUUUGAACGCACAUUGCGCCCGCCAGUAUUCUGGCGGGCAUGCCUGUUCGAGCGUCAUUUCAACCCUCAAGCACAGCUUGGUGUUGGGACUCGCGUUAAUUCGCGUUCCCCAAAUUGAUUGGCGGUCACGUCGAGCUUCCAUAGCGUAGUAGUAAAACCCUCGUUACUGGUAAUCGUCGCGGCCACGCCGUUAAACCCCAACUUCUGAAUGUUGACCUCGGAUCAGGUAGGAAUACCCGCUGAACUUAAGCAUAUAAUAAGCGGAGGA